AUUGUCACUACAGCUGCCAAACUUCAGCAAAUCAGUCACUGCAGCUGGAAGGGACAAAAGCCAUCACCUGUGCCACUUCCUGCUGGGAUCAACCUGCCUGGAUGAAUUUCUUCUGACCUGUUCCUAAAGGAAGGCUGAAGAAGCACAGGAUCAACAUCACCUCAUGGGAUGGACUCUUAUGUCAGCUGGCCAUGCUCAGGAAGAGAUGUUCAGCCAAAACACCCUCACAGAGGAGAAAUCUCA